rnacentral:rRNA from 1 species
GAUCAACGCUGGCGGCGUGCAUGAGACAUGCAAGUCGAACGGACACUCACGGGCUUGCCUGUGAGUGUUAGUGGCGGACGGCUGAGUAACGCGUAGGUGACCUGCCCCGAAGUGGGGAAUAACUGCCCGAAAGGGUGGCUAAUACCGCAUGUGGUGAUGCGUUCAGACGCAUCAGUAAAGCCGCAAGGCGCUUCGGGAGGGGCCUGCGUCCGAUUAGCUCGUGGUGAGGUAACGGCUCACCAAGGCGACGAUCGGUAGGUGGUCUGAGAGGACGAUCACCCAGACUGGGACUGAGACACGGCCCAGACUCCUACGGGAGGCAGCAGUCGGGAAUUUUGCGCAAUGGACGAAAGUCUGACGCAGCAACGCCGCGUGAGGGAUGACGGCCUCGGUUGUAACC